CAGUUGUAACAUUAGUUCAUGUGACUGGAUCUGAUGUCAAAUUCAGGUAUAAUGUGGCUCAGAGAGGAGUGACUCAGUGUUCAUAUGAUCUUAGUGUCUGACAGAGACUGCGGUUAAAAGGAUUCAGAGGGUUCUUCUCAGAGUGAACACUUGUACAAUGAAUCUUCAUUCAGUUAUUCUGUUCUGUGCCUCAGCUGUUGCUGUCUUUGGGAAUGUCAUUAAACCAAACAAAACAGAUGUUUUUGCUGAGGAAGGUUCAAGUGUUACAUUAUCCUGUAGUUUUUCUGUAUCUGGAGGUUCAGAUUAUCUCCACUGGUACCGUCAGUAUGGAAGAUCAAAACCUGAAUUUCUUCUUCUCACUUACAGCAAUGCAAAAGAAGCUGAGGUGUCUAAGAUAGAUCCAAGAUUCUCUGUUUACAUUCCAAAAAGAGAACACGUGGAUCUGGAGAUCUCCUCUGCUGCUGUAUCAGACUCUGCUCUGUACUACUGUGCUCUG